AGGAAAAGAAACCAACAGGGAUUGCCCCAGUAACGGCGAGUGAAGCGGCAACAGCUCAAAUUUGAAAUCUGGCCCCCUUGGGGCCCGAGUUGUAAUUUGCAGAGGAUGCUUUUGGCGAGGCGCCUUCCGAGUUCCCUGGAACGGGACGCCACAGAGGGUGAGAGCCCCGUCUGGUCGGACGCCGAGCCUCUGUAAAGCUCCUUCGACGAGUCGAGUAGUUUGGGAAUGCUGCUCUAAAUGGGAGGUAUAUGUCUUCUAAAGCUAAAUACCGGCCAGAGACCGAUAGCGCACAAGUAGAGUGAUCGAAAGAUGAAAAGCACUUUGAAAAGAGGGUUAAACAGUACGUGAAAUUGUUGAAAGGGAAGCGCUUACGACCAGACUUGGGCCCGGCGAAUCAUCCGGCGUUCUCGCCGGUGCACUUCGCCGGGCUUCCAGGCCAGCAUCAGUUCGCGCCGGGGGACAAAGGCUCGGGGAAUGUAGCUCCCCCGGGAGUGUUAUAGCCCCUUGCGCAAUGCCCUGGGGCGGACUGAGGUUCGCGCAUCUCGCAAGGAUGCUGGCGUAAUGGUCGUCAGCGACC
rnacentral:rRNA from 1 species